ACCAAGUGGCUCCAGCUCGAGACAUAGAGUCACCAAGAUGAUAUUUAUGUGGGACAGAACCACCCAUUGACUCUCACAAGUUCAUCCUGCCUGGACUCCCAGCUGGGUGAGCCGGAAUUUCUCUCUGGUCUAUGGACUUCGCCAGGGCUGCUAUUCUGCUUGGGACUUUGAUGACAGGAAAUAGUGGCCCAGGGCUGAGCAAUGUUUCUUAGAGCCAGGGCAACUCUUCUCAAGGUAGCGUAGCACAGGGUGAAGUUCUUUCUCCAGUUAGCAAGAGAGGAACACAGAGGCCCCCCCUCGCUGUGAUACCUUGUGGGGGUCUUUCUCACAAGUCCAAGGGGCUUCCCCAGGCGAGCCUCACCUGGUGUAUGAACGCUUCCAGUUGAAAAUCUCCUCCAGAUUGGAAGAAGGGGAAACCUCUCGCUUCUGCAGGCCUCCCCAGCGACGCCGGCCCCCUAAAAAUGAAGUCCUGCGCCUGCUCAGCCCUUUCAUUCUCUCUUCCAUUCGGAAGAAUUCAGUCAGGGCCCUGAAGGACUCCAAGAUGACCUCGUGGCUCCAUGCUGGCAAGGGUUCAGGGCGCAGGAAGCCACAGUGGCCUCCAUGGUGACUGAGCAGCAGGAAGAAGUACGGGUUGCUGUGGAAGAGUUCCGCAGGCAGAGUGUGCUCUGGGGGUCCACACACCGGGUCAUCAGCACUGCAGAUGCACAGCACGGGUACCGCAGCCUCAUCCACAUCCCGGAGUGGGUCGUUGAGAUCCCAGUAGGUAUCCCAGCUGAUGGGGCAACUCUUGGUGUGACAGAACAGGGUCUCCUCAAACUCUCGCAGGGAGCCACUCCUGAAGAGCUUGCCGGUGUCCACUGUGUCCUCCAGGGCGGAGGCAUACCUGACCACAGGUUGAUGAACAUGCCUGAUGGUGUGACCUUGGUCCGGGACACCGACACCUAGCAAGUGCUUGGCAGCAGGGAAAACAACUGGGACUACAAUCAGUCUAGUAGAUGGUCUCCUAAAUAGGGGCAAACUCCUGCACUGGGAAAAGGGACCUCUUAGCUCCCUGGGGAGGGCCUGAAAGGGUCACAAGGAGGCCGGAGUAGGCAGUUUGGUCCUUUAGGUAGAUUAAUCAACCCUGACAGUUGACCUUAGAAUUGUGUGUGAGUUUCCAGCCCCAGAUUUCCGCAGCAAGGGCAGCUCCUGAAGGCCCUGGUUUCAUCUCCAUUUACCUUGCCCAGCUUUCUGGCUUGAGGCUAUGGGACGUGCUGAAGGUGAUCAUUUUGAAGUGAAAACCAUGGCAGGCAGUUAAGCUAGACUAGAGUACUCUGUCCCUGGAGCAAACCUCUGAGUUGCCAUGGCAGCACCUCUCGUUCAGCCUCAGGAUUUGACCUUUGCAAAAUAGGAGGAGGUAAAAUAGCAAAGGAAAAAAAAAAAAAAAGAAAGAAAGAGUUCUGGUUGGCAAGUCAGGGUCCUGUGCUUUCAUGUAAUGGUCACAGCACCUGCAGAGGUGUUGUUAUUAACUCUACUCAGCUGAAGGGGGAGCAAGCCUUAAAGGGGCUGGCUGAUUCCCUGCAAAUUCAGGAUUUGACCCCAGCCAGGCCUGAUCCCAUAUCCUGGGUUUUCCUAUUUGUUGCCAGAAUGCCUCUGACCUCAUUUCUGCCAUCUCUUAGGAAAGACUGGAAAUGUCAUUCAAGUAGUUUCUGUGGGACAGUCUUGCCUGGUGUUAAAACUGUUCUCCCUCUGG
rnacentral:lncRNA from 1 species